rnacentral:sRNA from 1 species
UCCCGUGGACUCCGCCGACCUCGCUGC